UUAAUUGAAACCAAUAUAAAGGUAUAUUACUGUUAAUAAUAAAUUAGAAAUUCCAAAUAUUUCCAAUUGAA
rnacentral:tRNA from 1 species